rnacentral:rRNA from 1 species
CGACUAAAAGUUGGUUGGCGUAAGCUUAAGAUAUAGUCAAACCUCAUCUGAAAAGAUGCAGAACAGCUUAGUAUUAAAAAAAAAUUAUCGAUAUACUUAAAUCAUUGUUACGUGCUUCGUUUAAUGUUUGGUCUUUGAAUAUUAACCACAAUAGCUUUGUAAAGCAAGAUAAAUAAUGAUUAAACUCAAGUAAAUAAUGAUUAAACUAAAAUAAACAACGAUGAAAAAAUUAAGAAUUAAAAGCAACUUAAUAAAAGCGUUAGAUGGGUUUUGCAUUUAUAGCUAGCAUACUCUAAUAACAUAUGUAUAUGAAUAUAUAGUUCUAGUAUGUUUGGUUGUUUACUUGUUUAAUCUUAGAGAUGAUAUUAUAAGUCAUAUAUAUGAUAUCCUAAGCGAUUGAAAUUACAAUAUACCUCUACCAGUACAAGAAUUGAAAUUAUUACAGUAUGAUGUAUUGUAAGAUAACGAUUAAUCUCUAUCGUUAAAAAGGAGUAACUUACUUUAUCUUAUCAUUAUUUAUUUUAAGUAUAGUACAACGGACAAAUGUCCUUUAAUGCGAUGUUAGUUCUAAAUAGAUGAUUACAUAUCAUUUAGGGAGAAGGACCUCAGCUUUGCCUGUUUAACGGCUAAAGAGGUAGAUUUGUUUCUGCGAAACCUAUAUAAGUAGGUAAUUUAAAUAGAAUAUCAGAAGGUACAGAAUUGUGAUCUCAUGCAACCAGUAUUUAUUUAUAUAUUAAUAAAAAAAAGGAACAACCUGUUUGUGUGCUUAUAUUAGGUUAUUCUACGUAAGUGUUCAUGCAUGUAUAUCUUUUUUAGUGCUAAGCGUGCGAAGCAGUAAUUUCUAAUAUUAAUAAAUUAUACUUUUUGUGGACAUUGGGGGGUCGUGAAGACUCUAUCAGUGAGUAUUUGUUCUCGGAAGGACUAGAUAUGUAUAUUGAAUAAUCGGACAUAGUACGAUAAGGUUGUAUGUCUAAAGGGAAACAGCCCAGAACAAGAGUUAAUAAGGUUCCAAAAUUUUUGUUAAGUGAAAUUAAGGCAGUAUUUAUCCCAAUCGGCCAGGGAAUAGGCUUAGAAGCGGCCAUUUUUUGAAGACCUCGUAACAGAGCACUGGUUUUCUAUUUUAUGGAUAAAAGCACCGAAAAUUUAACGGAUCUAAACAAAAUACCGAUACCUUGUCCAUGUAUAUUAAUGUGUAUAUUAUAUAUUAUAUAUAUGGGGUAGCGGAACAUUGGGCGUGAAAUUUUUAAUCCUUUAUAAGGAUUAAAUUGUCUAGAGUUUAAUUUAUUAUUCUCUUGACUAAAUAAGCCCAAGUGAUAAUGCUGACAUGAGUAACGAAAAAGGAUAACACCUCAUUAUGACAGUAGGGAAAUCCUCGCCUAAAGCUUAUGGAAUUUAUUAAAGUUACGGCCUCUAAGUUUAUUUUUUUUUUCAUAGCUUCAGAUUAUUUAUAUAUAGUAUAUAUUUAAGAUCUACAUCUAAAUAGUCGAGAGUUAUGACAAAUUACCUAAUGGUAUAGACGAUGAGAAAACCUAGAGUUUGCAGUAAUUAACGUUUUUUAUUUACGUAGUAACUGAGACUCCGCUUAUCCCUUUUAAUUGUUAUUUUAAUAAUAUAUUCUUAAAGGAAAAACGGAAGAUCUUUACUAAUAUUUUAAGUAAAUUAAGUGAAAAAUGUUCUGGAAAACUGUAAACUCCGUAAGUAAUAUAAAAAAAGUAAAACAAAUAUAUAUUGUAAGCUUAUGCUAUAAUACCGUACCUAAAUACUAACACAAGUGAGCAAGUAGAGAAUACGAAGGCGUUCGAGCUAACAAUCAUAAAGGAACUCGGCAAAUUGACUCUCGUAACUUCGGGAUAAGGUGGGCCAUUUCUUCUGAUUAAUAUCAGGCAAGAAAGAGGAGGCAUAGAAUGGUGUUGUACGACUGUUUAAUUAAAACAAAGCACGCUGCGAAGAAAUAAAUUCGAAGUAUUGAGUGUGAUCUCUGCCCGAUGGCGGCUGGUUAACUAAUUUGCUUAGUUAAAUAAAAUAAGCUAGGCUUUGAUGGAAACCCCGUUCAAUGGCGGCCUUACCUAUAAGGGUCCUAAGGUAGCGUAAUACCUUGGCCGUUAAAUGCGGUCUUGCAUGAAUGAUGUAACGAUACAACAGCUGUCUCUAUGAUUGGCUCGGUGAAAUUGGAAUAACUGUGCAGAUACAGUUUACCUUUAGUUGGACGAGAGUGCGACUAGAUAAGUGUUUAACAGCAAUGAGGUGAAAACCCUCCAGGUAGUCCUUGGCCUGAGCUCAUACGGCAUGCAUUAUGAGUAAUUAUUUUGUGUGAAGCCCGUUAAAUAAUGGUUAUAUAACUAUCCAACCUUUUUACUUUGUGAAAAGGCUGGUGAGCUAAAUUAUUAUGGAUAAAUUUUUUGAAUACACGUUUGAAGCAUAUAACUAGUGCUUUACCUUGCGAAAAAAUAAAAAAUUACUUAUCAAGUUUAACGGCUUAAUCUUGCUUUACUGUUUGACUUACAUGUCUUUCAGUUGCGUAAGCGGGGCAUAUGAUCACAAGAUGCAGAAAGGAAAGGUCUUGGAUUAUUGAAAAAGUUACGCUAGGGAUAACAGGCUAAUCGCGCCAGAGAGUUCAAAUUGAGUGCGUGGUUUGGCACCUCGAUGUCGGCUUAGCUCAUCCACAUGAAUGUAGGAGUCAUGAAGGGUCCGACUGUUCGUCGAUUAAAGAGCUACACGAGCUGGGUUAAAUACGUUGUGAGACAGUAUGGUUUCUAUCCUCUAAAGGAAGUUGGAAUAAAUUAGGGAUAGCCCCUUGUACGAGAGGAGUUGGGUAUAUUAACCUAUGGUUUACCUGUUGUUUGUAUUGCCAUAUUAUUGUAACUGAUAGAGACAAUCUCUCCAUUUGUUAUAGCCCCUGAGUUUAUAACCAAGAACGCAAUAUUCUCGGUGUAAUGGCUUAUGCUGGCAAUUACUUUUCACUAAAGUAACAUUUACUUAGGCAGGAAUAAACUGAAAUAGAUGAUAUGUCUAGUAAAAAGGCACGGCAGGAAAGCUACGUUAGUUAAUGAUAAGUGCUGAAUGCAUAUAGGCACGAAACAUACCUUAGGAUAUUCUCAUAUAUACGUAGUUUAAUACUACAAUUU